GUAUAUCAAGCAUUGAUUGUACUGUACAGUUUGGCUCCUUUUUUAGAGGAACUCUAUUUGCGUACAGGCAGACUUCUUCUGGUAAGGCCUACACCAUGAUGGGAGACUAGCCUAAUGAAGGAGUCAUCCCAAUGGCCAUUGGCAAGAUGUAUGACUACAUUGAAAAACAUCAACAGAGAACUUCUGAUCAGAGUUUCAUACAUGGAAAUCUACAAUGAGGAUAUUCGAGACCUACUAAACCCUUCCAAAACAAAUCUUAAAGUUCAUAAAAAUGCACAGAU